rnacentral:rRNA from 1 species
UACGGAGGGGGCAAACGGUGCUCGGAAUCAUUGAGCGUAAAGCGCACGUAGUCGGCCUAGUAAGUUGGAUGUGAAAGCCCUCGGCUUAACCAAGGAAGUGCAUUCAAAACUGCUGGGCUUGAGUACAGGAGAGGGUCGCGGAAUUCUCGGUGUAGAGGUGAAAUUCGUAGAUAUCGGGAGGAACACCAGUGGCGAAGGGGGCGACCGGGACUGAUACUGACGAUGAGGGGGGAAAGCGUGGGGAGCAAACAGG